UACAAUAUGACACCGCGGGCAGCAGCAGCGUCGUAGUUUUAUCGCGUCGCUCAGUGUGUACAGUGUCUACGGGGCACUGGAGCUCACUUCCUGAUUUACUGACUGUCGGCAAUAUGUCCUAACGCUUUCAAAACGCUCUGCCUCUCUUUAAAUGACAACGUUUUGUGUGCCUGAAAAGCAACAUUACCUCCACAGGUGGAAGUAGCAAUCGUUUUUGACUUUAUUUGAUGCAGACCAUCACUUCAUUCAGUCAUAGCGCAGGUGGAUUUAUCGAUUCGCAUGGUUUCCUGGAACGUUUAUAUCGGUGAGGAUGUUUUAAAAUGGCGGUGGCAGCGUCACAACAGGGUCUGGAGUGAAUGUGAGGAGGUGAUGGACGCACACACAUCUUUCCACCUGCAACAGGAACAUGGCAGAAGCAGAGCACACGUCCAGUCAAAGCAAUGAUGAUUUCCAGGUCUCAUCGUUCAGCAACUCUUCACACAACCAGUGUUUGCAGUUUGCCUCAAAGCCUCUCACCCAAAACCAUGUCAACCAUCACAUGCCCUCAGACUCUCAGCUGCCACAUGUCUCCCUCGGCUGCAAAUCAUUCACUCCCUUUAAUGGCACAUGUGAUGAGGAUCGCAGCAGCUUGGCCUCUCAGGACUCUGGAAUCCCCUCCCUUGAGAUGAACCCCCCUGAGCACAUUCAUGCUCGAGUCACCACUGCUGAGCUGGUGGUUCCACCUCCACAUGAUGAUAGUCCAGCAACACUAAACUUGGAUAUUUCAGAUAGCUCCAUACUCAAGUCUUCCACCUUCCCACGUUGUGACUUUGAUUUGGUACGUCCUUAUGGUGCCGGCGGGCCCUCCAGUGCGGCAGGCAAGGGUACUUUGAACCGCAGUGAUGAUAUUUCAAUGUGCAGUGUUUCAAGUUUAAGUACUGAGUUUUCUGCCACAUUGUCUGUCAGUAAUGAGGACUUCCUAGACUUUAUGGUUACAUCCGAGUCCAGUGCUGUUGUUACAUUUGAGAAUGAAGAUGUCUUGCACCAUUCUGACAAUUCACUCUCAUCUCCUACUGACUUACACGGCAAGCUCAGCAGCCCUCAAAGGCAUCCUGUGGGGGUCUCUACACCACAUGAGGCUAGACCCAAGAGACUGGGUCCACUCGCCAGCUUCUUCCACAGGAGUCUUUUUGCUAAGAGGAUGAAGGAUACGGGUGCACAGGAAGAACAGAGAGAGCCUGGCUGGAAGCUGUUUGGUAAAGUUCCACAUAAAGAACUUUCAAUCAAAGACUCCAGGAAAAUACAAAAGGAAUAUGAAAGGAGUGGACAGUCAAGCAGUUCCAUAUCUCCCAAUAAGAAUGUAAGAAGGAACCUGGACUUUGAGCCACUUUCAACCACAGCCCUUAUACUGGAGAACCGUCCAGCGAAUCUUCCUGCAAAACCUGAGGAAGAAGCCCAGAAACACAGACAAGAAUAUGAGGAGAUGGUAGCUCAGGCCAAGAAGAGAGAGCUGAAAGAGGCCCAGAAACGGAAAAAACAACUAGAGGACAGGUGUAAACUAGAGGAAAGCAUCGGCAAUGCUGCUCUCACCUGGAGUCAGGAGAUAUUACCCAACUGGCAAAGCAUGUGUUCAUCUAAGCGGGUGAGGGAUUUAUGGUGGCAGGGUCUGCCACCCAGUGUGAGGGGCAAAGUCUGGAGUCUAGCGAUAGGCAAUGAACUAAACAUCACAGAUGAGCUGUAUAACAUCUGUUUGGUAAGAGCCAAAGAAAAGUGGAAUGCCUUUGUAGCCCCAACGGCUGCUGCAGAAACAGAGAGUGAAGAUGCAGGCUUGUCUCAUGCUGAUCGAGAGGCCAGUCUAGAACUGAUCAAGUUAGACAUUUCCAGAACCUUUCCCAAUCUCUGUAUUUUCCAACAGGGAGGCCCAUACCAUGAUGUAUUGCACAGCAUUCUGGGAGCUUACACUUGCUAUCGUCCUGAUGUGGGAUAUGUGCAGGGAAUGUCCUUUAUAGCAGCAGUGUUGAUUCUCAACAUGGACACUGCUGAAGCCUUCAUUGCUUUUGCCAAUUUGUUGAACAAGCCUUGUCAAAUGGCUUUCUACAGAAUGGACCACAGCCUUAUGUUGACAUACUUUGCCGCAUUUGAAGUGUUCUUUGAAGAAAAUCUACCAAAGCUUUUUGCACAUUUUAAAAAUAACAACCUGUCCUCUGAUAUUUAUUUAAUUGACUGGAUCUUCACCUUGUACAGUAAAUCACUCCCACUGGACAUUGCAUGCCGAGUGUGGGAUGUGUUCUGUCGUGAUGGCGAGGAAUUUCUCUUCCGCACAGCACUGGGGAUUCUGCGUCUUUACGAGGACAUCCUCACACACAUGGACUUCAUCCACAUCGCUCAGUUCCUGACGCGCCUGCCGGAAUACAUCUCUGCUGAGAAGAUCUUCUCCAGCAUAACCAGCAUCAACAUGAACAGCAAGAACAAGAAAUGGGCACAAGUUCUUCAGACUUUGCAGAAAGGACAAGACCGUGGCAGUCCGCUACUGAAACGCUAAGGAUGCAACCUCAUGUCUUCUCUUCCACCUCACAGAGACUGAGAGAGAAACUCAUGUUGACUGUCCAUGGGUACUCCUCAUCAGAGAAUAUCAGUUCCAGUGGCCACUGUAUGUGUCCUCUUCCAUACAAACUGAUGCCUGGGAACACAAACUGACCUCACAGGGCUGGAACAGAGGCAACACAUCACAUGAAUGUACACUCCUGACUCUCAGUUAGAAAGUGUUGUGCCAGUCCAAAACCAAACAUUCUGGAAUACCAGCGUUUCUGAAGUUCCAAAGUUUGGUUUCAAUUCAAGCUUACAGUACAGGACUUUAGCAUAAUAAAUGUGGCUUUAACAUUGUGGUGCAGCUUGGAUCUCAUGGUGGUUGAAGUGUUGAAAAGAAGGUAGAUGAGAGAUUGAGUAGGAGUACGAGUUCAGUGAUGAUGGUGGUUUUCAGUCAUACGGCUCGUCGCAGCAUUAUGCUUGACAUCUCAUAUUGUCUUCAUUAAUAACAGAGAAACAAGCCUCUCUAGAUUUUGCAGUAAAUUAUUCCUGACAUUCAACACUUCAUCAAAUUGAGAUUAAAAUCAGAUAAAAUUUAUAAAAUACCAUGUUAUAAUACUUAAAGUCUUUACUUGUUUCAUGUAAAUAACAUGCACUAAACUGGCCUAAUUUUUGGGACCAUAAUAUGUAAUGGCAAUAACAGCAUUUUUCACUCUUUUUUAAGUUUAGAGAAGUGAAUGUCAUUUUGGUGAAUGUUUUUCACUGAGAAGUAUUGACAGUAUCACGUUAAGCAUUCAGAUGCUUAUUUAUUAUACUGAUUAGAAAUCAUGGAAGUUCAUGGAUUAUUAUUUUUGUGAGGAAAAAGAGCUCAAUUUCAUAUCCUCUCAGAGAGUGUAAGUGUGUGUACUGCAUGUACACACAGUAAUAUGUAAACAAGCUAUGAAGGCACCAGAAUAUUGAAUGGCACUUGAUAUCUUGCACACUCCAAAGUAAGUUUAUGUUCAGAUCUUAUCAAGAUAAUGUGGUGAGAUUUCACUGCUUUGUGAUCACUGUGAUCGAAGGAAAACCUCCCACCUUUUUUGUGGUCUAAACCACACUACUGCAAUAAGCUGCUUUGCACAUUUUUUUUCCCUUUAUCAUAGAUUUACACUGUCGUCUUUACUAUGCUCUCUGCUAUUUCAUGUUUCGUUUCUUGUUCAUUACCAUAUAGGAACCCCAGGAACUUGUUUUGUGUUAAUGUUGGCUGUUUUCAUUAUAAUCCGAUUAUUCAUUGCCCUCAAUUUUAAAAUAUUUUUUAUAUCUGGGGGACACACACCAGGAGCUUUAAGUUAAUGGCUUUUUAUUUUUGCCUUAAGUCCAAGGUUUUGAAAUAACUUGCAUAUAUCAGAAAAAGAACUUAAAAGACUUCAUAUGUAUCCAGUGCUUUCAGCUGUUUGAGUUCAUGUACAAUAAAAGGAGUGAAUACAAUCUUAAUUGUAAUGAAAGAGGACGUGUUUC